rnacentral:pre_miRNA from 1 species
UUAUGAUAUUAACAUGGAUGUUGUGAGUUUGUUCACAAAUUCAUACUUUUUGUUUUUAGCGAAUUUGUA